rnacentral:ribozyme from 1 species
AGGGAUAAAUUGAGCAGAAUUGAAGAACACAAUAUGAGUAUCAAUUGUUUUAUGCACAAUGGUGGU